GCGCCGGUGGUGUAAUGGCGUAGAGCAUUCCCGCCCGGUCAGAGGGUGGUGCGGGUUCGAGUCCCGCCUGGCGCU
rfam:Heligmosomoides polygyrus genome assembly, scaffold: HPBE_scaffold0003175